AGUUGCCCGACGCACUUCAGACGAUCGGGUUUUUGUUUCAGUCGAACCGAACGAAAUGCCAAUGGUGGACGGGUGUUUGAAAAGCAUAACGUGUGGUUCACUGGUCGGAUAAGCACAGAUAUCACCCUGAAAUGUGACGACCGAAAUCGAUAAUUCUCCAGGCCUAGGAGAUUUUUUUGUUCGUUCUCUCUUUCUCUCUCACGCGAAUGAGAGAUUGAAUUAUAAUUUUGGAUAAAGUAAUAACGAGCCUGAACGACGAUGGAUCAAGCGAGAAAACAAAUAGCCUCGUCGGAAAUAGCGAUGGCGAACGAGGUGUUCGAUCUUUUCUGCAACGCCACCACCCUCAAAUCCAUCCUCGGGCACUUUCGACACCUGUGCGAUCUCCUCAAAAUGCGGCCCAACACUUUUCCACAGUUUUAUCCAAAGUUCAAAUCAAAACUCCGCUCGUGGAAGGCCCAAGCUCUUUGGAAAAAAUUCGAUCAACGAGCCAAUCACAAAUGUUACAAUCGAGGCAAAGCCUGUUCUAAUACCAGAGUCCUAAUUAUCGGUGGUGGUCCGUGCGGCCUAAGAUCAGCGAUCGAGGCACAAUUGCUCGGUGCUAAAGUGGUCGUCGUCGAGAAACGAGAUCGAGUAUCCCGCAACAAUGUUCUUCACCUCUGGCCCUUCGUUAUCCAGGAUCUCCGUGCCCUCGGGGCUAAAAAGUUUUUUGGCAAAUUUUGCGCGGGCUCCAUCGAUCACAUUAGCAUUAGACAACUGCAGUGUAUUUUGCUCAAAGUCGCCCUCAUACUCGGGGUCGAAUUCCACGAGAAUGUUAGCUUCGAGUCGUUGGUACCGCCACCGGACGAUCAGGAGGAAGGCAAAAUCGGAUGGAGAGCAAAAACAACGCCUACGGAUCAUCCAGUCUCGCAGUACGAGUUCGACGUACUCGUCGGUGCUGACGGCAAACGAAACACUCUCGAAGGCUUCAAAAGAAAAGAGUUUCGAGGAAAACUCGCGAUUGCGAUAACCGCCAAUUUUAUCAAUAAACGUACUGAAGCCGAGGCACGGGUCGAGGAAAUAAGCGGCGUCGCUUUUAUAUUCAAUCAGAAAUUCUUCAAGGAAUUGUAUCAAGAGACUGGCAUUGAUCUCGAGAAUAUUGUUUAUUAUAAGGACGAUACUCAUUAUUUCGUAAUGACUGCCAAGAAACACAGCCUCAUUGAUAAGGGAGUCAUUCUUCAGGAUCACGCUGACACUGCAAAAUUAUUGGCCAAGGAAAACGUGAAUCGUGACGCUCUUAUGCUUUACGCGAGAGAAGCGGCCGAAUUUUCAACGGAGUAUCAAAUGAUGGACAUGGAAUUCGCUGUCAACCAUUACGGCCAACCGGACGUGGCGAUGUUUGAUUUCACGUCGAUGUAUGCGGCUGAGAACGCGAGUCGUGUUUUGGAACGUUACGGUCACAGACUUCUCAUGACUCUCGUUGGCGACAGUUUACUCGAGCCAUUCUGGCCUACGGGAUCAGGCUGCGCACGUGGGUUCCUCAGUUCUAUGGACGCUGGAUGGGCCAUAAAGGGCUGGGGCGCCUCGAUGUUGCCUCUCGAAGUUUUAGCCGAGCGUGAGUCGAUUUACAGACUCCUCGGGCAAACGACCCCGGAGAAUUUGAAUAGAGAUUAUGCCGCUUAUACUCUCGAUCCCCAUACCAGGUAUCCAAAUUUAAAUACACGCUCGGUCUCGGCAAUUCAAGUGCGAAGUCUCCUCGAUACUGAUGAUCCGGAGAACAUAAAACAGCCAUCGGCGAUUCCGUCGGCGAUCGAUUUACCAAAGAAACGAAGGCGCCGCGACACUCAGGUACAUCCGGACACAUUGCUACACUGGCUCCAGAGACAAGUUGCCCUUUACGACGACGUUCACAUCGUCGACAUGGGUGCAUCCUUCAAAGACGGCCUUGCCUUAAAUGCCAUCAUCCACAGAUACAGGCCUGACCUCAUAGACUUUCAUUCACUUACGACUGAGGAUGUAGAAAAAAAUAAUCAAUUGGCCUUUGAUAUAUUGGAAAAGGAAUUGGGAAUUUCACCGGUAAUGACGGGUGAGGAAAUGGCGCAUUGUGACGUACCAGACAAGCUCGCGAUGUUUUCAUACCUAACGCAAAUAUACGAGGCUUUCCGCGGUGAGAUACCCCACAUAAAGCAUCCAAAAUUGGAACCGGAAAACGACGAGAGACCCCUUUAUUCGAAACAAUUGUCCCAACUGAGUCCGGAGCAAAAGGCUCAGCUGAUCGGCCGUCUCGCAAAGCCGGAAAUGCCAACGCGACCUCGUCACUCCCGAUCUCGUCACAACAACGAAAACGUUCUCGUUCCGUUGGACAAAAAAACCGACACGGUGUCCCGACGUUCCCGCAAACGUCGAAGCACCGAAAAAAUGGGCGCGACCGUGGAGGAGAGGCAAAAGAGACUCGAAGACAUUGAAAAAAAUCGCGUCGAACGUAUGAGGAAACGCCAGUAUCUACGUAAAAUGGCUACCCAACAAUUCAUUAAGAGCAUACAAAUGCUCGCGGCAAACGCGAAACGCGAUAAGGACGAGCCUUUCGAGGAUUACUCAAUAUUCUUGUAUCGUCAAACCGCCCCCGACUUCAAGGAUCGGGUCAAAGAACUCGAGCAGAAAAUACUUUAUCCAGAUAGGGAGCCAAAAUUGCACGCCGGACAUCUUCGAGGCAGCGUCGAUGAUGAUUUUUCCGGGCGAAUUAAGGAUAUUGAAGACAAAUUAAGAGGCACUGCCGCUACCGAUAAGAAACCGAGAGAUCUUUUGCGUGCUAUUGGGAAAAUCGAAAAAACGGAUUGGAACGUGAAGGAGAUCGAAAAGAAAAUCGAGGAAAACAAAAUGGGACGAGGGACCCGACAGGAGAGGGUGGAAAAAGUGCCAAAGUGGAGUCGGGAGCAGGUCUCUAUAUUCUUCCUUCAGUUUCUAGCUCGCCAGAUCAAGAUGGAGAAAAAAGGACGAGAGCCGAAUGCGAAGUUGGACAGUAAGUACGCCGAUAUUGAUAACACUCUCAAGGACAUUGACCGAAAAAUCAAGGAGGGUAACGUUCUUGGUCACAAUAAAGUUUCCGCUAUGGCCGAACAAUUUGCCAACAAGGGUCAGGACAACGAGCCCAAAGUUCAGAGAUCGAAUUCUAAAGCAGCAAUAACACUACCGACACAGGGAGGAUCGGAACUGUGCCAUUUUUGUGAUAAACGAGUUUACCUAAUGGAGAGAAUGAGUACAGAAGGCAAAUAUUUCCACCGUGGUUGCUUCCGCUGUGAAUAUUGCUCAACAUCCUUAAGAAUAGGAAAUCACACGUUUGAUAGAGACAAAGAUGGCGGACGAUUUUAUUGUACACAACAUUUUGGCUUACCAGGAACUAUGAAAACUCGCGUGGAGAAGAAAAAACUACCGCUUUUGAAUAAGGAAAAUAUACCGGAAUCAUCGUUACCGAAAAAACCAGCAUUGGACAAGGCAAAAACACCGUUAGAAGGCGUCGCCGGCUUGGAUCUUCUGGAUCGCGGACAAACACCGGAAAGAAUAGAAUUUGAGAAUCUCGCAGGAAUGUCGGACCCCGAAGAGGCCCAAAGUCAAAUGGAUGAGGACGAAUGGACUGACAGAAAUUUCGGUGCAUCCGCAGCGGAAAUGGGUUCCAGCGACGACAUUUCUGACAUGAGUGAUUCGGACGAAGAGAAUGAAGUUUAUGAAGAAGCCAUGGAUCAACCGUUAACGACGGAAGGGACUAUAGAAUUGGCAAAGAAUUGGACUAUGCGUUAUUCAAAUCCACACGAAACGACGGGUCAUUCUGACACCGGAAGCAACGAGUACGAGGAUUCGAGCGACGAAUAUACGAGCGAAGACGAAGAGAGUGGCACCGCAACGGAAGACGAGGAAGACGUUCGGGCAAGGGAGCUGAGGAAACAAGAAGUCUGGCUGAAAGUUCCGCCAAGGAGUUCCGACACAGAUACGGGUUCCGAGACCGAGGUCGCUUCGGACAAUUCGUCGUCGUCGGAGAGUCAGGAAAAUUCAGCGACCGAAAUAUCGACGGAUUCGGAGUUCGAACAUGAUGGAACAACGCCAACGCAGCACGAAAUCCCGGAGAUAACGAUCAACGACGCGCACGUUAAGAAAAAUCGUGGUCAGACGAGCGAGCCGAAAAAGGUGCAAAUAAAAAGUCGUGUGAUAUCGUCGAUCAAUGGGAAUUUGAAACAGACGAAAGAGCCGGGUGUUAAGUUACAAUUCUCGAAAUUAUCAGCGACGAAGGAAGAAAAAACGGUUGAAAAAACGGUGGCGAAAUCAGGAGAUGUGGCGAUGAGGAUGAACAGGGAAAAAAUGCCAAGUCCAUUGGUGAAUCCACGCAAAGGCGAUUACUUGUUGAAUCGUACCCACUCGACCGAGGGAAUCGCCUCGAAAUUAUCUUUGGAAUUGAAAAAGCGUUAUUUGCUUGGAGGAUCAGUAUUGGCCGGUUCGGUCGUCAAAUCGGGUUCAACCUCAAACGUGGAUACGAGACUGAGAAAUUUAUCGGACGCGAUAUCGCAGCAUCAAAAAUUACUGAAUCCAGCUCCGGAGCCGAGUCCAACGAUGCAAGCGUUUCUCCAGGGUACAAACAAGCUCCGUACCAGUGGAGUAAAUGCUCAAAUAUCGCCGAUUUCGCCAACGGCAAUUUUCACGAGCUCUCCUCUCAAAACCUUCCGACCUGGGGCAAUAUCGACUGUUGCGAAAAACUCGAGCGAUUCAAAGAUACCCACUGAAGAGGCAAAAGUUCAGUUACCAGACUUAGUGAAAGAAACAAAUAUUCUUAAGUCAAAAACCGAGCCCAACAUACCGCGCGUAGAGACGAGCGAAAAAAAGAAAGACACCACGGAAUCAAUGGUCGUAGAAAAACUGGCUGGUCCAGUACAGAUCGCGACGGAAGAGAGUGACGUUUGCAGACCGCGAAGUCCGUUGCACGAAACCUCAAUUCUCGUGCCCCAAGUGGAUUGGAACAAAAACGUCAAGGAUGAAGGGACGAGAAGUCACGAGAGUUCUGAAGACUCGGAGAUCGACAGUGACUCGCUGUCAUCGAGCGAAAGCGACGAUUCGGAAGAAGCUAAAAGAGCUAAAGAGCCGAAUCUCUCGCCUCCAAGAUUACAAAUUCAAACUCCAAGAAUACAAAUUGACGGCGAUUUGCUUGUGGACGUCGGAGGCGAUCGAGAGGCGGUAGAGAACGACGAGGAAAUCGCCGCGAGUUUCGAACCCGAUUCCAUUGAAUUUAUCGACCUACGGGACGAUGAAAACGAGGCGGAAACUCCGCGAAUCACCGUCGAGCUCGAGGCGGUUAACAACAACUUGAAAAAAUUGCAACUAACCGAGAGUAACAACGGUAAAAGUAAUUGUAGCAGUCCAACAUCGAGCGCGUCACUGAAACACGAUGAUUCCAUUGAGAACGACGUGACAACCGCGGCGCUAACGGAAACAGAAUUUUCCGAAUGGGCUCGGGACGGCGAAGUCGUCGUCGCUGAUGAUAUGCGCGACGUUGAAUUUGAUAUUAAUCCCGAAUUUAUAACGAUACGAAGAAAUCGGGGUAGUCGAGAGAAAAAAAUGUCUGGAACUGCUCCGGCGAGAAUCGCGAAAGAGGAAGAUCUCACGGAUAUUGAACUCGACUCCAUACGAUUCGAUCGUCCGCUCGACGCUCCGAGCAACGACACAUCCAAGCUCUUGGUUAACGGAGAAAACAUCGAUUACAUGGACACCGAUAAUGAGUCACUUCUCGACGAUAGCUUACGGGAUGCGACCAACAUUUCCCUGCUUAAAAAUCGUGGCUACGUCGAAUUUGUGAAUAUUACGAGUUCUUCGAGUCCGGAAAAACCAGAAAUGAAACCAUUGGACGCGCCAAUCGCUCGCGACGAGAUGGAAAAUGAUUUUUGCUCCGAAGACGAACACUGGGACGACGAGAACGUGAUUGAGAUUAAUCCCGUCACGAUGGACGACGUCAAGGACCGAUUGAGUGGGAAAUUCUUUGAAAAAAGUGAUAAAUCGGUUGAGAUCGGUUUGGGAAAUAUUGAAAAGAGAGAAGAAUUGAACGAAGCCGUGAAUCGCGAGCUUUUUAAUUCGAUGGAAGAGGAUAGUUUGUUGGUAGUUGAACCGACUGAGGACACGACGACGAGCGAGAUUAUAACGAUUCUCGCGAGCCCCGUGAAUCCACGAAUCGAUCUCGCGACUGAUUUGUCGAUCGAAGCUUCUCGCAAUCAAGCAAACAUCCCGGAAAUUCAACCCGAAACUAACGACGAGAAAUCCAUUAAUGACGCGAAUAAUCCAGACUAUCUGGAGUAUGUAAAACGUCUUCAAUCCCGCAUUGCCGAAUUCAGUAACGCCAAAGACUCGAUAGAUGUGAGAAAAUCAAAGAGAAAAAACUCCAAGAGCUCUUCGCCUCAAUUAAAGACCGAAAACAUCGUCGAAGAAACGAGAAAUCAGCAAGACAUAAAUACCGAAGCAUUCAACUCGCCCGCAACUUCGCGGAAACUCGAGGAAUUGACGCGCGAGAGAACGAAACAAAAAACACUCAUCCAGGAUCUCUUGAUGGACAAAAUGGAAGCUCACAAACAGAAAUCAGCCGAGAAAAAAGCUAGAAGAGCCGCCAGAACUUCGUCAUUCGGAACAACGACAACUUUGUUUUCCAACGUUCCAAGUCCCGUUCCAGCUGCGGCUCCCAUUUCUUUCGUUCCGACCUCUUUGACAACCCCUGUCAAUAGUCCAGUCAGAACAACUUUCGCCGAAGCUAAGAAAAGUCUUCAAGGAUCACCCUCUUCGACUUUGACACGAAAUUCCAGUAAUCCGAGCCUCUUGUCCAGUCUUUCGAGUCAACGCUGCGAAACCGAGCUCACGUCUUUGGCCUCCUCUCGACCUCAAAGUCGCGAAGAUCCCCGUGAUUUCAAGACGCCCGUUGCUCCGCCCCGACUGAAACACGAGGAGGCCCGAAAAACUGCGGAAAAAGCGAAACAGGAAGCUCGCGAACGUGCGCGUCUCAAAAGCGACCAAGAUCUGGGUCUCAGCCCUGAGGACAGAAUCAGAGAACUCAGGCUCAAAGUCCCCCGCAGACAAUUGUCCAUGGAGGACAAACGAACAAACGAGGAACUCGCUACCAGCCAAGAAAGCAAAACUCGACAUCUCAGCUUCACUCUUGAUAAAACGCUGAACAAAUUGCAGACCAGCAAAAGCACGGAUAAUUUCAAAGCUUUCGCGAAGAAAAAUCAACCGGAUACACUGCCCAGUAGCAACGCCAAGUCCAUGGACGAAUUGAACGCUACCAACUCACCCACCAAAUCUGACAAUGAAAAUCUCGUCAUCAAGAGGGAUAAAAAGAAAUCACCGAAAGAUCCUGAAAGACGAAAAAGCAUCAUCAAAGCUGUUUCCGAUUUUUUCAAGAAAAAAGACAACUCUCCCUCCUCACCUAACCACCAGAAGGACAAGGGCUCUAUGUUCCGAUUGACCUCCAAAAAUAAGGAUAAACCAAAGUUAUAUAAAUCAUAUUCGGAGGGUUCGGAUUUGGAUAAAACUGCGAGCCCUGAUAAAAUGGAGACGAGACCACGGAGCGUUUGCGAAGGAAUGCUGGUUGGGAAUUUCUUGACGGAUAGCUCACCCCCUGUUCCUCCACCACCAAUAAAUUACAAUCUCACCGCCGUUCACGUCUCGGAUGACAGUCUGUCAGAAGAGGACUCGAAAACAGCAGCCCUAUCAACCUCCCAAAUCAACAAAACGAACCCCGGCGAUGGUUCCUGCAGUAGCAUACCUCGAAAAACUAAAUCAGCUAAAAGAGCUGCUAGGCAAACUCAACUGAAAAGGUUACGAAUGGCUCAAGAAAUACAAAGAAAGUUAGAAGAAACGGAAGUGAAACAAAGAGAGCUGGAAAGCAGAGGCGUCAGCGUAGAAAAAGCUCUCAGAGGCGAAGGAGAUUGUUCGAAUCGUGAAGAGGCUGACUUGUUACGGGAAUGGUUCGAUUUGAUGAGAGAACGAACAGAGCUGCGGAGAUACGAGAAGGAAUUAUUGGUGAGGGCGCAAGAAGUCCAACUGGAGGAUCGGCAUGAGAGAUUAGAGCAGGAAUUACGCGAAAGAUUGGCUGAUGAUGAUGACAAAAAGACGAGGGCCGACGUGAAAAAAGAAGGCGAGAUCUUGACUGAAAUGUUGGAAAUAGUUGCAAAGCGUGACUCCCUGAUAGCACUGCUGGAAGAGGAGCGACAAAGCUCGACAUUAGUUAACAACAAACAAGAAUCAGUCCAUCGUGAAAAAACAUACGAAGAUUCUUAUUCUGCUGAAUAUACCCCAGAAAAAAAAAUUAACUAUUAAAACACAAGAAACGAAAAUUGAAAAAGAAACAUUGGGCAAGAGGUUAAUAGGAUCACAGCACGGCUUCGCUUAAUUAUGCACAACUCUGCGCGCAGUUGACUCGAAAAAUUUGGACCGGAUACAGAAGCGAAGAUCAAGACCUCGAGGCAAGAAUGCUCGCUGAAGGCUUGAGGUUAACGCCUAUCAACAAAUCGGGUCCGAAAUAUUCCGUAUAAGAAUGCAAUCGAUCUCCGAGAAAUUCAUUUGAUGAAUUCAAUCGAGCGAUAUUGAAUCGGUCGUUCUAUAAUAUCUCAAAAUUUUUGAAUAUAAAAAAAGAAAAGGAAAAAAACGAAAAAACAUAAUACCGAUGGCGAACUCCGGGGCCUUUCGAUUGGCGGAGUAAAAUCGCGAUAAGGAAUUUAAGCGAGUUUCUAAAGGAUUUGAGAGCCGUGCAUUUUUUUAACGAUAAGAGAAAGGGGAAAAAUUGUGUUCUUUGCAUGUUGCAAUUUUACAAUUAGAAAAAUCGUGAUGAAAAGAUUAAACGUUUUCGAAUCGAAGUCGAGGCGUCAGAAAGAUACGACAGAAAGAGUAAAAAUAUUUUUCAAAUAAACGUUUUUGAAGGAGUAAGAAAAAUGAAAGAAGAAAGAAAAAAAAACAUGAAGAGACAAAGAUGCGUGAUAUGUAUAUUUUAUAAAGCCGAUAAUGCGUGGGUGUACCAAACUAUUUUUUACGCUUGCCAGAGCGAGCAAAUCGUCUGAUUUCCGGGGGAAACAAAAAACGAGAAGUGAUAAUUCGUUGAAAUCGCUCAUAUGAAAAUCAAAUAACCAGCGAUCAAUUGAAUUCUGUACAGACAACCUUUUUUUUAUAAUUAUACCUGAGAAAAUAACGAAUGGAGCAAUCAUUGGCAAUUUAUUCGAGGGCGGAAAUUCGUAUCGCCGACAACUGUUAAGUUCAAAAUUAUGAAAUUUAAAAGAAUACAAAAUUUAUCAUUGAGAACAGCUCUUCGAUCGGUCUAUCAUCGUACGUGCCUAAAAAUAAAAUGACAAAAAGGGGGGAAACUCGGAAUUGAAAUUCAUGGUGGAAAGACGAUUUUUUUUCUCCUAAUUUACCAUCUCUCGCCGAGGAUUUAUUAAUGCUGCAAUUUUUUAAUCAUGAAAUAGGCAAAAAAGAAAACACUAGUCCUCAGACAAGGGAGAUUUGUUCCGAUAGACUUCUGCCCAUAAUAAUUAAUGAUAAAUCGCAAUUAACGGAUAAUUCAUUAUUAAUAAUCAUUGCAUACGUUUUAUUGAUCACCAAGAAUAAAGUGAUUUGUUUUAUGCGGUUAUAUUUCCAAUGCUACGUCUUUUAAACUCAAGUAUUACUUACUCGAGCCAAAGCACAGUUCAUCGUUGGAAUAAUUACGAAACUAUUCAAUUCAUUGAAUUCUUAGCAAAACGCGAAAACUAAUAGGACAUGUUUAUAUACAUAUAUAUGUAUAAAUAUUUAUUUAAUUUAUGCAUAUAUAUGAAUAUAUAUUGAUACUUUGUAUAAUCAUGUACAUAUAUCGGUAUGUAGAAAAAUUAAAAGUGAUAUAUACGUAAAAUCGUGAGAGCAAAUAGCGUUGAAACAUUAGACUAAACACCUCGUGGCGCUUCUGUUGCCUCAUUAUUUCGCUGAAUUUAAUAAACGCUUUGAUAAUACACCAUCUGAAUUACAAAAAUA